rnacentral:rRNA from 1 species
GGAGGGUGCAAGCGUUGUUCGGAAUCAUUGGGCGUAAAGCGCGUGUAGGCGGCUAUCUAAGUCUGGUGUGAAAGCCCAGGGCUUAACCUUGGAAGUGCACUGGAUACUGGAUGGCUAGAGGACGGGAGAGGGAAGCGGAAUUCCUGGUGUAGGGGUGAAAUCCGUAGAUAUCAGGAGGAACAUCUGUGGCGAAGGCGGCUUCCUGGCCCGUUUCUGACGCUGAGACGCGAAAGCGUGGGGAGCAAACAGGGAUUAGAUACCCUGGUAGUCCACGCCCUAAACGAUGGAUACUAGACGUCGGAAUUCCUAAUAGUUUCGGUGUCGCAGCUAACGCAUUAAGUAUCCCGCCUGGGGAUUACGUCGCAAGAUUA